UACGAAGGGGGCUAGCGUUGCUCGGAAUCACUGGGCGUAAAGCGCACGUAGGCGGCUUUCUAAGUCGGGGGUGAAAUCCUGGAGCUCAACUCCAGAACUGCCUUCGAUACUGGAAAGCUCGAGUCCGGGAGAGGUGAGUGGAACUGCGAGUGUAGAGGUGAAAUUCGUAGAUAUUCGCAAGAACACCAGUGGCGAAGGCGGCUCACUGGCCCGGUACUGACGCUGAGGUGCGAAAGCGGUGGGGAGCAAACAGGG
rnacentral:rRNA from 1 species